GUGCAGAUAGCUUGACCCUUGACUGACUUCAAACCGCAUAAAGUGACAAGUGAGUUAGGGCAAGGUGACAUUGACAUUGAGUCCACUCAGGUCUCACAAUAGUGUAAGGCCAAGCUAGUUCAUAUUUUAGUCCGCUACGAGUCUACCUUCUACCGGCACAAACUAGAUUGCGGGAUGGCUACUGGUUAUGUCCAUCGCAUCAGCCUCAGUGACACCAAGCCUUUUAGCCUACCUUAGCGUAGGCUCUCCCCUAACCAUUAUGACAAGCUCGGGCAGGCCUUGGAUGACAUGGAAGAGUGAGAGAUAAUCAGGAAAUCCAGUGAGUAUGCCUCCCCGCUCGUGCUGGUCUGGAAGAAGUCUGUCGAUCUGAGACUGUGUACAGAUUUCCAAUAGCUCAAUUCUCGCACCGUAAAGGAUAAUCACCCUCGACCUCGUCAAGUUGAUGCUCUGGCGGCCCUGGGUGGUUAUGUCUUCGACUGAAGAACUUUGAAACGUUUGGAGUCCGUUUUUGAGCUUCUCAAAGCCCAAGAUCUGAAAUUGGCUGCAAAGAAAUUCCAUUUCACAAGGAGGUCAGUGUGGUUCUUGGGGCAUGUCAUCAGUGAAGGAGGUUCGCCACAGACCCAGAAAAAGUGAAGCCAAUCCAGAGAUGACAGAGAAGGAUCACAUUGAGGAUAACACGGAUGUGCCCUCCCAGGGGAAGAUUCGGUCCUUUCUCGGAAUGAUAGUCUAUUACCAGCAGUUCAUUGAGGGGUGCUUCACCAUCUCUAAGCUGCUGCAUGAGCUGACAACUGGAACGAAGGCGCUACGCUAUGGAAAAGGCAAGAAAAAACAAGGAAUACAUAGGAAACUCGCAGCAGACUGGACUGCAGCCCAUGAGAGCUAAGUACUGCCAGACCUGUAAACACUGUAUACGGGGGUUUGACCAUCACAGUCCAUGGAUAGAGAAUUGUGUGGGUGAGAGGAACUACCGCAGGUUCAUCAUCAUCUAUCUGGCUGUGCAGCUGCUUGCUCUACUCUGUGUCCAUCAGAUUGCUUGGUCAGGUUUCCAUUCAGCCGCCACUUGGAAACUGUGGCUCAGUGUGAAUGGGUUUCUGCUGGCGGCGCUGUGUGUUGUACUCGGUGGUGUUCCUGCUCCUGGGCUGCCCCCUCUAUCUGAUCUCCAUCGCCUGAGAGUUCAUGUCUCGCCACCAGAUGCACUAGAGAGGGAGCCACAACACAGUCUGACCGCUCUACAGACACCAUGCCCAUACCAGGCUAUAGAAUUAAGCCAGGGUCGUGGCGCCGCUUAGAACUUCCAUUCUGCCGUCCUUCAUCAUUUAGAUUUUUAGCCAAGUUGAAGUAGUGUAAAAUAGAAUUGUCGUAUGGUACUGUGGACUUUUUUCAUUUUUCUGUUUAACAGUCAUAUUGAACAAAUGAUGUACUCUGUUUUUUAUGUUGAAACGCUUGAUGAAUUAGUACCUGCAUUCUUUGAGAAAAACUUUUACUCAAUUGGAAAUAAUUUAUUUACAAUUUUGCAAUUGACAGAUGGCACCAAACACUAGUGAUCACAUGAAUAUUCAUUCAUUUUAUCAUUUACAUUAAUUGAUGUGGUAAUCCAGGCAUUCAUACAGUAAUGCAUAAUUAUUAGCAGCAACUAUUGAACUGUUUUUGUCACGCCUGUUUAAAGGAGAGGACAUGGUGCAGCGUGGUGAGCGUACAUUCUCUUUAAUUAAUCAAAAUGACGCCAACAAACCAAUACCGAACAACCUGUGCCGCUUAAGGCUAUGUGCCAUCAAACAAAG